AGUAACACGUAAACAACCUGCCUUCAGGAUGGGGACAACAGACGGAAACGACCGCUAAUACCGAAUACGUUCCACGGGCCGCAUGACCUGUGGAAGAAAGGGUAGCCUCUACCUGUAAGCUAUCGCCUGAAGAGGGGUUUGCGUCUGAUUAGGCAGUUGGUGGGGUAACGGCCCACCAAACCAACGAUCAGUAGCCGGUCUGAGAGGAUGAACGGCCACACUGGAACUGAGACACGGUCCAG
rnacentral:rRNA from 1 species